GACGAACGCUGGCGGCGUGCCUAAUACAUGCAAGUCGAGCGGACCGAACAGGAGCUUGCUCUUGUUCGGUUAGCGGCGGACGGGUGAGUAACACGUGGGUAACCUGCCCGUAAGACCGGGAUAACUCCGGGAAACCGGAGCUAAUACCGGAUAACACCGAAGACCGCAUGGUCUUUGGUUGAAAGGCGGCUUCGGCUGCCACUUACGGAUGGGCCCGCGGCGCAUUAGCUAGUUGGUGAGGUAACGGCUCACCAAGGCGACGAUGCGUAGCCGGCCUGAGAGGGUGACCGGCCACACUGGGACUGAGACACGGCCCAGACUCCUACGGGAGGCAGCAGUAGGGAAUCUUCCGCAAUGGACGAAAGUCUGACGGAGCGACGCCGCGUGAGCGAAGAAGGGCUUCGGAUCGGAAAGCUCUGUUGUUAGGGAAGAAGAAGCGUCGUUCGAACAGGGCGGCGCGGUGACGGUACCUAACGAGAAAGCCCCGGCUAACUACGUG
rnacentral:rRNA from 1 species